UGUAGGCGACACAACCACCAGGGUGGAGGUUUCCUCUUCUCCUGCAGUGAACUUCUGCCCUGUGCAGGGCAGGAACGGAGGCCACGGCCUUCAGACAGAUGAGAGCAUCCCAGCCCUGAACAACACGGCUGAAGCAUCAACCAGCGGGCUCUGGAGCCAAGUGCAGAUCCUGCACGGCACCUACAGGGCUGGAGGUUUGGUUUGGAAGCCCCACCACGGGGCUUCCCUCUCUUUCCUACUUCCUGGACAUGUGGUUUAGCUGCUGCAUUUAAACAGGGGCAGGCCGGCACCUCGCGGGGCUCCGACACCCGUCCCCGUGCGGGAGGAGGCCGCUCCCCGCCGCGGGGCUGAGCGCAGCUGCUCGGGACAGCCAUGCCCGAGAGCAGAACAAACGCCACCGCAGCCCCGAGCCGGGGCCAGACAGCCUCGGCCUCUCCCACACACAGAGAUUUUCAGUGUGAAUAACCUAGAAGCUGUUGCUGUAAGACUGAAUUACAGAAGUGGCCAAAAGCAUUGCACUAUACAUUGCAUUGAAGAGCAGUUGAAGAGAGCUUUGAAGUACAGCAAGCUGAUGAUGCAGAAAGAAGUCCAUCAGCCUUGCCCAAAUGUGCAGCUCUACACAUCAAUUUUAAGAUUUAGAGCUUCUUUAAAUCUCAGUAUUAUAGUGUAUAUAUGUAUGUAAUUUUGGUGGUUCUAUCUUGUCUGUCAUUUGAAAUACUGAUUGAGUUUUCAGGCUCUGUGCAAAUAAAUUCAACUUCUAUGCUCUA